GUCUGACUUUGAGCAAGUCACUGAACCUCUCUGGGCCUCAGUGGGAUGUUAUAAAAAUACCUACCUUGUGAUAGUUUGCUUGCUAAAGAACUUUGAGUCUCCAUGCCUCCCUGUGUUCACAUCUCUUGCAAUAUGAGUCUUCAGCUCACUUCCUAUUAAGAAGUGGAAUCUCUGUCCCUACCUCUUGAAUUUGGCCUUGUGAUUUAUUCUGGACAAUAGAAUGGGGUGGAAGCAGCAGCCUAGGCCUCCAGAGGCCUUGAACACUUUCACUGACUCUCUUGAAUCCCUGUGACCUCCAGAACAAGCCUGGGCCAGCCUGCUGGAGGCCGAAAGACCCUGUGGAGCUGAGCUGACUCUGCCCCUCUGUCUUUGCUAUGACCAGCACAGCCAACCCACAGCUGACCCCUGGGCUGACCACAGUUGCACGAGCAAGCCCAGCCCAAAUCAGAAGGUUGUGCAGCUGCAGCCUUACCCCUUUGACUGGCAUGAAGGAGCUUUGAUGCUUAUGUGGAAACAUUCCUGGCUGAGACCUGAGACCUGUCUUUUCUUUGCACCAGACAAGAGAGACCUCCGAUCUCCUUUUCACAGUACCUCGUGCACCGAGCAUAAGGCCUGGAGCAUGGCAGGAGGUCUGCUGCAGGUAGGAAUUGAAUGGCUGAAUGAAGACCACGCAGAUGUGGAUGCUCAUUGUUCCCAUCUCCUCCUCUGGAAGCCAUGUGUCUCCCUCUAAGCCAGGCUGGUCACUCCUUCCUUCAGACUUCACUGUCCCCCCACUUUCCUCCAUCACAAUUCAUCUCAUCGUGACCUCAGGAUUUUUCUGGAAACACAACUAUUGUCCCAUCAAUCCUCUCCCUGUCCUUUGGCCCCACUGAAAACUCUUGAAUGGGAUGUUGCUAUUCUUGGGACAAAGAUCCAAAUCCCUAAGGUGGCAUCUGAGGCCCCUUAGAUGUCUGGCCCUCACCUCUCCACCCCCAGCCUCGUUUCACAGCCCCUACUGACCCCCUGCCCUCCAACCACACAGGCCUUGGAGUUCUUCAUGGUUGCUGACAGCUGGCCAUCAUGACAGGGCCUCUGCACAUGCUGUUCCCUGGCUGAAACCCUCUCCCUUCCCCACCCUCACUUGCCAACUCCUAUUCUCCUUUCAGAUCCCAGUUCAGCCAUUCCAGUCCUCAGGUAAGGCUUCCUUGGUCUCCUUCAAAUCUCCCCACUUCUUCACUGCAUGUGUAAGCUCACACUUCUUUGUGUGACGUAUUGAUUAGUGUCUGUCUCUCCCUCUAGACUGUGAGCCUUAUCAGGCAGGGACCAGUAUGGUUUUGCUUAAUUUCCCUAACACAGUGGCUGUCCCACUGUAGGUGCUCAACAAAAGUGUCAAUAAAUAAGCGGAUGCUGUCCCUGCAGGGUUUUCUCUGAUUCGUGUGCUUCUCUCCCAAGACAGGCUUCCCCCAAGGGCUGGAAUCUGCCUCAGCCAUC
rnacentral:lncRNA from 10 species